UACGUAGGGUGCGAGCGUUGUCCGGAAUUAUUGGGCGUAAGGGGCUCGUAGGCGGUUUGUCGCGUCGGGAGUGAAAACCUCGGGCUUAACUCGGGGCUUGCUUUCGAUACGGGCAGACUAGAGGUAUGCAGGGGAGAACGGAAUUCCUGGUGUAGCGGUGAAAUGCGCAGAUAUCAGGAGGAACACCGGUGGCGAAGGCGGUUCUCUGGGCAUGUCCUGACGCUGAGGAGCGAAAGUGUGGGGAGCGAACAGG
rnacentral:rRNA from 1 species